CACGACACACGCCCUCUGCUUCAUCAGCGGCGGCAACAAGGACAGGAACUCCCGAGAUCGAGGUCCAGGCUGAUUCUCAUGCGACAGGAUAGUUUUGCCACUUCUAUUGCGUAAAGGUGCACCGGUGACUCCUAUACUGAUGGAAGCUUGCAAACAACCAUGGCGAUAAUUUGCUUUUGUCGUGGUCUUAGUCGAUGAUGCAUUGUAUAGAGUUGUGUGUGUUUUCUAGGUGGCGACAUGGAAGAAGCUAGCACAUGUAACAAAUGGAUCUUGAAUUCUUGAUGUAUAAUUUCAGUUGAAUAAAAUCAUUUUUUUCAUUGUUA